UGUUCUGGUGGCCAAGUGGUUAGAUCAUCCGCCUUGGAUGUGGGAGGUCGUGGGUUCGAACCCUGCCGGGUCAU